GAGUUUGAUCGUGGCUCAGAUUGAACGCUGGCGGCAUGCCUUACACAUGCAAGUCGAACGGCAGCAUGAUCUAGCUUGCUAGAUUGAUGGCGAGUGGCGAACGGGUGAGUAAUACAUCGGAACGUGCCCUGUAGUGGGGGAUAACUAGUCGAAAGAUUAGCUAAUACCGCAUACGACCUGAGGGUGAAAGUGGGGGACCGCAAGGCCUCAUGCUAUAGGAGCGGCCGAUGUCUGAUUAGCUAGUUGGUAGGGUAAAGGCCCACCAAGGCGACGAUCAGUAGCUGGUCUGAGAGGACGAUCAGCCACACUGGGACUGAGACACGGCCCAGACUCCUACGGGAGGCAGCAGUGGGGAAUUUGGACAAUGGGCGAAAGCCUGAUCCAGCAAUGCCGCGUGUGUGAAGAAGGCCUCGGUGU
rnacentral:rRNA from 1 species